rnacentral:misc_RNA from 1 species
GAAGUGCGAUAAGUAAUGUGACUUGCAGAAUACCGUGAAUCAUCGAAUCUUUGAACGCAUAUUACACUCUCAGGUAUUCCGGAGAGUAUGCCUGUUUGAGGGUCAGCUAAAAAAAAUCAAGCGUUAUUGCUUUUUUGUGAUGACGUUUGGAAUUGAGUCGUCUUAACCUCACGGUCAAGUGACUUAAAAUUUUUUAAUGUGAUUUUCGAAACGUAUUUAAUAUUUUACGUACGUUUGCGAUAUCAAUCUAUUAGAUGUGGUCAUUUUCCAUGAUUCUCGCGUCUAUAGUUUUUCAUUAAAUGACCUCAAAUCAGGUAAGAGUACCCGCUGAACUUAAGC